rnacentral:rRNA from 1 species
AUUGAACGCUGGCGGCAGGCCUAACACAUGCAAGUCGAGCGAGCGGCGGACGGGUGAGUAAUGUAUGGGGAUCUGCCCGAUAGAGGGGGAUAACUACUGGAAACGGUGGCUAAUACCGCAUACUAUCGGAUGAACCCAGAUGGGAUUAGCUAGUAGGUGGGGUAACGGCUCACCUAGGCGACGAUCCCUAGCUGGUCUGAGAGGAUGAUCAGCCACACUGGGACGGAGACACGGCCCAGACUCCUCCGGGAGGCAGCAGUGGUGAAUAUUGCACAAUGGGCGAAAGCCGGAUGCAGCCAUGCCGCGUGUAUGAAGAAGGCCUUCGGGUUGUAAAGUACUUUCAGCGAGGAGGCGUUACCCGCAGAAGAAGCACCGGCUAACUCCGUGCCAGCAGCCGCGGUAAUUC